rnacentral:rRNA from 1 species
GAUGAACGCUGGCGGCGUGCCUAAUACAUGCAAGUCGAGCGAACAGACGAGGAGCUUGCUCCUCUGACGUUAGCGGCGGACGGGUGAGUAACACGUGGAUAACCUACCUAUAAGACUGGGAUAACUUCGGGAAACCGGAGCUAAUACCGGAUAAUAUAUUGAACCGCAUGGUUCAAUAGUGAAAGACGGUUUUGCUGUCACUUAUAGAUGGAUCCGCGCCGCAUUAGCUAGUUGGUAAGGUAACGGCUUACCAAGGCGACGAUGCGUAGCCGACCUGAGAGGGGGAUCGGCCACACUGGAACUGGGACACGGUCCAGACUCCUACGGGAGGCAGCAGUAGGGAAUCUUCCGCAAUGGGCGAAAGCCUGACGGAGCAACGCCGCGUGAGUGAUGAAGGUCUUCGGAUCGUAAAACUCUGUUAUUAGGGAAGAACAAAUGUGUAAGUAACUAUGCACGUCUUGACGGUACCUAAUCAGAAAGCCACGGCUAACUACGUG